rnacentral:rRNA from 1 species
GAUGAACGCUGGCGGCGUGCCUAAUACAUGCAAGUCGAGCGAACAGAUGAGGAGCUUGCUCCUCUGACGUUAGCGGCGGACGGGUGAGUAACACGUGGAUAACCUACCUAUAAGACUGGGAUAACUUCGGGAAACCGGAGCUAAUACCGGAUAAUAUAUUGAACCGCAUGGUUCAAUAGUGAAAGACGGUUUUGCUGUCACUUAUAGAUGGAUCCGCGCCGCAUUAGCUAGUUGGUAAGGUAACGGCUUACCAAGGCAACGAUGCGUAGCCGACCUGAGAGGGUGACCGGCCACACUGGACCUGGGACACGGUCCAGACCCCUACGGGAGGCAGCAGUAGGGAAUCUUCCGCAAUGGGCGAAAGCCUGACGGAGCAACGCCGCGUGAGUGAUGAAGGUCUUCGGAUCGUAAAACUCUGUUAUUAGGGAAGAACAAAUGUGUAAGUAACUAUGCACGUCUUGACGGUACCUAAUCAGAAAGCCACGGCUAACUACGUG